rnacentral:rRNA from 1 species
UGGGGAAUUUUGGACAAUGGGCGAAAGCCUGAUCCAGCAAUGCCGCGUGUGUGAAGAAGGCCUUCGGGUUGUAAAGCACUUUUGUCCGGAAAGAAAUCCUUGGCUCUAAUACAGUCGGGGGAUGACGGUACCGGAAGAAUAAGCACCGGCUAACUACGUGCCAGCAGCCGCGGUAAUACGUAGGGUGCAAGCGUUAAUCGGAAUUACUGGGCGUAAAGCGUGCGCAGGCGGUUUGCUAAGACCGAUGUGAAAUCCCCGGGCUCAACCUGGGAACUGCAUUGGUGACUGGCAGGCUAGAGUAUGGCAGAGGGGGGUAGAAUUCCACGUGUAGCAGUGAAAUGCGUAGAGAUGUGGAGGAAUACCGAUGGCGAAGGCGAGCCCCCUGGGCCAAUACUGACGCUCAUGCACGAAAGCGUGGGGGAGCAAACAGGAUUAGAUACCCUGGUAGUCCACGCCCCUAAACGAUGUCAACUAGUUGUUGGGGAUUCAUUUCCUUAGUAACGUAGCUAACGCGUGAAGUUGACCGCCUGGGGAGUACGGUCGCAAGAUUAAAACUCAAAUGAAUUGACGGGGUCAUAGCUGUUUCCU